GCAAAGCCAACACCACUAUUGGAGAGAAAGUGGAGAGUGUGUAUUAGAAGUACUAGUCUUUGAAGACAAAACAGCUGUAUAGAGUGAGCUUAAGCGCUGGAUCCCUGUGGUUAGGAAGGGAAACUAAGCCUCCGGGAUGUGAGAGUGCCAUGGAAUGCAGUAGGCCCAGGAUGAAGCAGGUGUCAGCACAGAAAACCCACCAUCACCCAGAAAAGGGAAGAAAUACGCUACCACCAUCACUCUCCCUGCCAAUGACUUCUUUGCACACUCCCACCCUAUCUCCUGGCUCAAUCUCCCAUGUUCUCAUAGCUAGGGAGGUCUCCAUUGUAAUUUGUAUGGGGAGGUUAACCUAUAGGCCAUUCUGAUGAUCCCAGCUCCCUUUCACUACAACCCCCAUCUGCAUCCUUUGCUUUGCAAGUAGGAUUUGAGAGAGGAAGGAUGAAGAUGUAGCCACAGGAUACAUUUAAACAUGCACAGAGUUUGGGGGGGCGGUGGGGAGCAAAAGCAAAACAAUAAAACCUUCACCAGUCAUUAAAGAAAUGAAAAUGAA
rnacentral:lncRNA from 1 species